rnacentral:rRNA from 1 species
GACAGAGGUGCCGAGCGUUAGGCGGAAUCACUGGGCUUAAAGCGUGUGUAGGCGGGCGGGCAAGUACCUUGUGAAAUCCCACGGCUCAACCGUGGAACGGCUGGGUAUACUGCCUGUCUUGAGCCAACUAGGGGCGAGCGGAACAGACGGUGGAGCGGUGAAAUGCGUAGAUAUCGUCUGGAACGCCGAAGGUGAAAACAGCUCGCUGGGAUUGUGCUGACGCUGAGACAGAAAGCCAGGGGAGCGAACGGGG